rnacentral:rRNA from 1 species
AUUGAACGCUUGCGGCAGGCCUAACACAUGCAAGUCGAACGAGUGGCGGACGGGUGAGUAAUGUCUGGGAAACUGCCUGAUGGAGGGGGAUAACUACUGGAAACGGUAGCUAAUACCGCAUACCAUCAGAUGUGCCCAGAUGGGAUUAAGUAGUUGGAGGGGUAACGGCUCACCAAGGCGACGAUCCCGCGCUGGUCUGAGAGGAUGACAAGCAACACUGGAUCUGAGACACGGUCCAGACUUCUACGGGAGGCAGCAGUGGGGAAUAUUGCACAAUGGGCGCAAGCCGGAUGCAGCCAUGCCGCGUGGAUGAAGAAGGCCUUCGGGUUGUAAAGUACUUUCAGCGGGGAGGCGUUACCCGCAGAAGAAGCACCGGCUAACUCCGUGCCAGCAGCCGCGGUAAUUC